rnacentral:rRNA from 1 species
AUUGAACGCUGGCGGCAUGCCUUACACAUGCAAGUCGAACGGCAGCACGGGAGCAAUCCUGGUGGCGAGUGGCGAACGGGUGAGUAAUACAUCGGAACGUGCCCAGUAGUGGGGGAUAACCCGGCGAAAGCCGGACUAAUACCGCAUACGACCUACGGGUGAAAGCAGGGGAUCGCAAGACCUUGCGCUAUCGGAGCGGCCGAUGUCAGAUUAGCUUGUUGGCGGGGUAAAAGCCCACCAAGGCGACGAUCUGUAGCUGGUCUGAGAGGACGACCAGCCACACUGGGACUGAGACACGGCCCAGACUCCUACGGGAGGCAGCAGUGGGGAAUUUUGGACAAUGGGCGCAAGCCUGAUCCAGCCAUGCCGCGUGCGGGAA